UGCCAGACUCCUACGGGAGGCAGCAGUGGGGAAUAUUGCACAAUGGGGGAAACCCUGAUGCAGCGACGCCGCGUGAGCGAUGAAGUAUUUCGGUAUGUAAAGCUCUAUCAGCAGGGAAGAAAAUGACGGUACCUGACUAAGAAGCCCCGGCUAACUACGUGCCAGCAGCCGCGGUAAUACGUAGGGGGCAAGCGUUAUCCGGAUUUACUGGGUGUAAAGGGAGCGUAGACGGUCCUGCAAGCCAGAUGUGAAAGCCCGGGGCUCAACCCCGGGACUGCAUUUGAAACUGUCAGGCUGGAGUGCAGGAGAGGUAAGUGGAAUUCCUAGUGUAGCGGUGAAAUGCGUAGAUAUUAGGAGGAACACCAGUGGCGAAGGCGGCUUACUGGACUGUAACUGACGUUGAGGCUCGAAAGCGUGGGGAGCAAACAGGAUUAGAUACCCCAGUA
rnacentral:rRNA from 1 species